GGCAGAGUAGCUCAGUUGGUUAGAGCACAGGACUCAUAAGCCUGGGGUCGAGAGUUCGAAUCUCUCCUCUGCCACCA
rnacentral:tRNA from 1 species